GAUGAAGAACGCAGCGAAAUGCGAUAAGUAAUGUGAAUUGCAGAAUCCAGUGAAUCAUCGAAUCUUUGAACGCUCAUUGCGCCCGCCAGCAUUCUGGCGGGCAUGCCUGUUCGAGCGUCAUUUCAACCCUCGACCUCCCCUUGGGGAGGUCGGCGUUGGGGACCGGCAGCACACCGCCGGCCCUGAAAUGGAGUGGCGGCCCGUCUGCGGCGACCUCUGCGUAGUAAUACAGCUCGCACCGGAACCCCGACGCGGCCACGCCGUAAAACACCCAACUUCUGAACGUUGACCUCGAAUCAGGUAGGACUACCCGCUGAACUUAAGCAUAUCAAUAAGCGGAGGA
rnacentral:misc_RNA from 1 species